AUUGAACGCUGGCGGCAUGCCUUACACAUGCAAGUCGAACGGUAACGCGGGGCAACCUGGCGACGAGUGGCGAACGGGUGAGUAAUGCAUCGGAACGUGCCCAGUAGUGGGGGAUAGCUCGACGAAAGUCGAAUUAAUACCGCAUACGACCUAAGGGUGAAAAGGGGGGGAGUCNCAAGACCUCUCGCUAUUGGAGCGGCCGAUGUCAGAUUAGGUAGUUGGUAGGGUAAAGACCUCCAAGCCUAUGAUCUGUAGCUGGUCUGAGAGGACGACCAGCCACACUGGGACUGAGACACGGCCCAGACUCCUACGGGAGGCAG
rnacentral:rRNA from 1 species